rnacentral:rRNA from 1 species
UUACAAUGGAGAGUUUGAUCUUGGCUCAGGAUGAACGCUAGCGGCAGGCCUAAUACAUGCAAGUCGAACGGUUCUUAGCAAUAGGAAUAGUGGCGCACGGGUGCGUAACGCGUAACCAACCUACCCAGUUCUGGGGGAUAGCCCGCCGAAAGGCGGAUUAAUACCGCAUAAGACCAUAGAGUGGCAUCACUUCGUGGUUAAAGAUUUAUUGGAAUUGGAUGGGGUUGCGUGCCAUUAGCUAGUUG